rnacentral:rRNA from 1 species
UCCAGACUCCUACGGGAGGCAGCAGUGGGGGAUAUUGCACAAUGGGGGGAACCCUGAUGCAGCGACGCCGCGUGGGUGAAGGAGCGUUUCGGCGCGUAAAGCCCUAUCGGCAGGGAAGAAGGAGGACGGUACCUGACUAAGAAGCCCCGGCUAACUACGUGCCAGCAGCCGCGGUAAUACGUAGGGGGCAAGCGUUAUCCGGAUUUACUGGGUGUAAAGGGGGCGCAGACGGCAGCGCAAGCCAGGAGUGAAAGCCCGGGGCCCAACCCCGGGACUGCUCUUGGAACUGCGCGGCUGGAGUGCAGGAGGGGCAGGCGGAAUUCCUGGUGUAGCGGUGAAAUGCGUAGAUAUCAGGAGGAACACCGGUGGCGAAGGCGGCCUGCUGGACUGCAACUGACGUUGAGGCCCGAAAGCGUGGGGAGCAAACAGGAUUAGAUACCCUAGUA